rnacentral:ncRNA from 1 species
CACGGGGGUGCUGAUAGAUUCGGCUGAGAUUAUACCCAUUGAACCUGAUGCUGGUAAUGCUGCCGCAGGAAUAGAUGAUAUAA